UACGUAGGGUGCAAGCGUUGUCCGGAAUUAUUGGGCGUAAAGAGCUCGUAGGCGGCUUGUCACGUCGGCUGUGAAAACCUGGGGCUCAACCCCGGGCCUGCAGCCGAUACGGGCAAGCUAGAAUUCGGUAGGGGAGACUGGAAUUCCUGGUGUAGCGGUGAAAUGCGCAGAUAUCAGGAGGAACACCGGUAGCGAAGGCGGGUCUCUGGGCCGAUAUUGACGCUGAGGAGCGAAAGCGUGGGGAGCGAACAGG
rnacentral:rRNA from 1 species